rnacentral:rRNA from 1 species
GACGAACGCUGGCGGCGUGCUUAACACAUGCAAGUCGAGCGGUAAGGCCCUUUCGGGGGUACGACGAGCGGCGAACGGGUGAGUAACACGUGGGUGACCUGCCUUUAGUCUCUGGGAGUAAGCCUGGGAAACGUAGGGUCUAAUACCGGAUAUGACUCCAUGAUGCAUGUUGUGGGGUGGAAAGCCUUGUGCGGCUGGAGAUGGGCCCGCGGCCUAUCAGCUUGUUGGUGGGGUGAGGCCUACCAAGGCGACGACGGGUAGCCGGCCUGAGAGGGCGACCGGCCACACUGGGACUGAGACACGGCCCAGACUCCUACGGGAGGCAGCAGUGGGGAAUCUUGCGCAAUGGGCGAAAGCCUGACGCAGCGACGCCGCGUGAGGAUGACGGCCU